rnacentral:rRNA from 1 species
GACGAACGCUGGCGGCGCGCUUAACACAUGCAAGUCGAACGGAAAGGCCUGCUUUCCCUUGUGGAUUGCGGGUACUCGAGUGGCGAACGGGUGAGUAACACGUGAGUGAUCUGCCCCCAACUUGGGUAUAAGCCUGGGAAACUGGGUCUAAUUCCCGAUAGGACUGCAGGGUGGUGCCUGUGGUGGAAAACGAUUUUCUAGUGGUUGGGGAUGAGCUCGCGGCCUAUCAGCUUGUUGGUGGGGUAAUGGCCUACCAAGGCGGCGACGGGUAGCCGGCCUGAGAGGGUGGACGGCCACAUUGGGACUGAGAUACGGCCCAGACUCCUACGGGAGGCAGCAGUGGGGAAUAUUGCACAAUGGGCGGAAGCCUGAUGCAGCGACGCCGCGUGGGGGAUGACGGCCUUCGGGUUGUAAACUCCUUUCGACCGCGAGGAAGCCACCUGGUUGGAAGGGUGGUGACGGUAAUGGUAGAAGAAGCACCGGCUAACUACGUG